rnacentral:rRNA from 1 species
GACGAACGCUGGCGGCGUGCCUAAUACAUGCAAGUCGAACGCAGUGGGGACGGGUGAGUAACACGUGGGUAACCUCCCAUCAGAGGGGAUAACACUUGGAAACAGGUGCUAAACCGAUACUGAUGGAUGGACCCGGGGUGCAUUAGCUAGUUGGUGGGGUAACGGCUCACCAAGGCCACGAUGCAUAGCCGACCUGAGAGGGUGAUCGGCCACACUGGGACUGAGACACGGCCCAGACUCCUACGGGAGGCAGCAGUAGGGAAUCUUCGGCAAUGGACGAAAGUCUGACAGAGCAACGCCGCGUGGGUGAAGAAGGUUUUCGGGUCGUAAAACUCUGUUGUUAGAGAAGCGGUAUCUAACCAGGAAGCCACGGCUAACUACGUGCCAGCAGCCGCGGUAAUUC